rnacentral:lncRNA from 1 species
CUUGGCUUAACUCGUCACGUACGUCAGAUUUUUGGGCCAUAUACAUUCGCAACAUUCCAAGAUUUGUCGGGAGUCACACGAGUGUGUACUUGAUACAUAAACAUACAUGCACGCUAAUAAAUUCUAAUAAUAUUCUGUUAUUAGUUAGAACAUUUGAUGGGUACAUCCGAGAUAUUGUUGAACAGAUUAUAUUAUAUAUUCUCAGUAAAUACAGUAAACCUUUCAAGAGAAAAGGUUUUUUUUUUUUUUCCGUCAAAGUUUUUUGAUAUUAUAUAACUGGGCCAAGCCCAGACAAGAGCCGAAGCCCGAAUACAUAAAGACUGAC